AUUCAGACUUUAUUUUAGUGUGUGAACUUUUUUGUCUAAAAUUCCGUGUGUCAAACAAUGUUUUCAGCGGCCCAUGACCAGUGGAAACUACACCCUCAGCGGCGGAGUUUCGUAAAAUCCGUUGUCAGUGCUCUACUGCAAGUCAAACAGCGUUGAAGCGCCCCUAAACAGAACGUUUUCAUCAAGAUACUAUACAAAGCAUUCCGAAGGAGGGUUGACAUCAGGCGAGCGGCUGGUCAUAAAAAUAUAGCCAAAUCUAUUUGCCAGUAUAUUAGAUGUGAGUGAUAGGGCUAGGGCGUACCCCCAGGAGACGCGAAGAGGCAGCACCCGGCCCCUGUAGGAAGUGGACAAGAGUUUUUGCACCAACCCGGGCCAGGGCAAUGAGAAGCGAGCCCGGGAAGUAUGCAAGUUGGAAGUAUGACUUCUGACAGAAAUGAUUGGAAGAGAAAGACAUGUUGCGCCGACCCCAAAUGACUUGGAAACAGGACAGGAAGAUGAUGAUGAUGAUGACUAUACGACUACCAGAAGGCUCUUCUGCAAGUCAGACAGCUUCGGAGCAACCCUUAACACAACAUUUCAUACAUCAAGAUCUAGACACACGGCAGUGUGUCCGCCAAGUUCGAGCAAAAAAAGCGACACACCGGCCGUGGGUUAUAUUACACGAACCAUUUCAGGCCAAAUUCGACCCCCCUAUGCCAGGUGUACAAACUCAACUAACUCGAAGCAAUUGUUGAUGGAGCAUAAUUAUUAUAUAAUUAGCAAGACAAGAAUAAUGACUGGCAAAGGUGCAUCCAAAACUAAUCGAGCCCAUGUUCUACCACUGUGCACCAAGAUCAAGCAUCUUCGGACCGAGAUAUCGCGUCUUCUCAAAAGAGGUCGAAUAUUUAAAGAAAGACUACGGAAUGUACAUUGUGUACAAAUGGUUCUUCCAACCUGCAGACAGACAUGUGUUGCUGGGGAGUUUGUUGCGCCACUUCUUCUUCCCAGCAAAAACACAUAGGAAGUAGUGAAGGUUCAAAAAGUCUUGCAGCCAAGUUUGAAUAAAUGAUUUUUGAUUUGAUUGAAUGCUGAAACACUCUUCGAGAAGGCAUCGUUCCUGCACGUUACUCAAAAUAAGACAAAACCAGCCCAAAUGUUCCUUCACAUGCAAUUACAAACUCCAAAGAAAGAUAAAGGACGAAGGUUUAGUUUAGAAACAAAGGUAUUGGCAUUGUCUCUGUAUGAAAAAAGUCCAAAAUGUUAUGGACUUAUACCUUUUUUUUUACCUUUGUCAGAAACCAUGACACGGUUACUCAAGAUAACUGGUAUUUACAAAAUAAUUUUUGGAAAGUUAAAAAAACUGUACACACGCUGUGCGUUGUACGGUUGUGAAACUUGUACGCUAACUAAGCAGGAUAUAAGCAGACUGGAGGCUUUUGAGAUGUGCUGGAAGAGGAUGGAGAGAAUUAGCUGGACGGAAAGAGUUACUAACGAGGAAGUACUAAACAGAGUAGGAACUAAGAAACAACUAUUGCAAAAUAUAGAGAAUAGGAGAGGAAAAAUGAUGGGACACCUUAUAUGUCAUGACGAUUUUGUCAAAAACAUCGUGGAAGGGAAGGUCGAAGGAAAGAGAGGAAGGGGUCAUCCAAGGUAUAGCUAUAUCAAGCAAAUUAAAGAAAAGGUGAAGGUUGUGACGUAUAAUACGAUCAACAAAUUCGUUGAAGCCAACCCGGACUGCGAUAUAUUUGAAGAUAAAGGACAAUGCCGGAUUUUGUAUGGACCCUGUCCCCACCCACCAACAGACUUGAAACUAGUGUCAUCGGAAGCGCAUCUUUCGAUAGAUCAUGAUUAUCAAAACGAUUUACUGCAAAUGUAUGGGGUUUUGGAAAUACACGACAUUUUAGUAUCCUUAAUAAUCAAUUAACUUCAAUUUUGUUAACCAAUUACUCGGAGUUGCGUCGACCGAUUUUGAUAAUUUUUGUUUUAAUGCAAAGAACGUGUCUCAACGUUAGUCCGAUAUAAUUUUCAUCGGGAUCUUUUUGGCGGAUGAGGCGCAUCCAAUGACACUUAGUUGAACUCUGUUGGAGGUGGUUAAGGUGUCCUUACGAAGAACUACACUGCCUCUUCAAACCGAUUAUUUUAACCGAUGAUAACUCAAAAACUGCUUAAAAGAUCUUGAUGAAAAUUAAAUUAGACUAACUUUGAGAUAGAUUCUUUAAAAUAAAAAUAAAAACUUCAAAAUCGGUCCACCCAACUCCGAGUAAUUGGUUAACAAACUUGAAGUUAAUUCAUUAUUAAGGACACUAAAUUGUCUUAUAGUUCCUAAACCCCAUACUUUUGGAAUAUGUCUCCAUAAUAAGAAAUGAUCUAUUAAAUGAGGCGCAUCCAAUGACACUACUUUCAAGUCUGUUGGUGGGUGGGGACGUUUUUAGGCAUUGUCCUUUGUCCAUAUAAUGAGAGUAUGCCUAAAGUUUUGUGAAAACAAUUUCUAAUUUUAUUAUUCGUUACUAACGUGUUUUUUUUACUUUAUUUUCAUUUUAUUUUAUUUUUUAAUAUUAUUUUAUACUUUAGUUAACUGUAUUUUUUAGUUCUUUUUUUUUCUUUUAAUUUUAAAUUUAAGUUUACGAUUUAUGUAAUUGGCUGCUAAAGCCGUGUAAGUCGAAUAAAUAAAUAAAUAAAAUAAGGAAGUUCAGGAGUUAGCGCUAGAUAGUUGUAAAUGGCAGGAGCUGCACCGACAAGAGCUGGGCUCUUAAAUUAAUGAUGAUAAAAAAACCUGUUUUGCAAUUAGCCAAAAUGGAAAGACAGCCAGUGUUCAGGUGAUAAGAUCGAUGUUGUUUGGCGUUAUUUUUGUAUGGAACAACGUGUGGCUUGCUCAAUUAUCUAUUGGACACUAUUCAUUAUUAAGUUCAUGUAAAAUGUUAUUUGUAAUUAAAUUUUGAAAUUUAUUGAUGCCAUUUUAUAAUUGUUUUUAGUUGGAUAAAUAAGUUUAUUUUUACGUCACGUAAAUAUGUACAAUUUUGACAUUAGUUUCGUAUUAGCACCAAGUACACCGACAAGAUAAGCUAGUUUUCUUAAAACAACUGCUUGUUUACUAUGAAUUUUCAGUUAAAAUUUUCAAAGUAAACGUUUAUUUUCAGAAAAACGCGCACUUAUGUGGUCAGUGAACUUGGGCUUACUUUGAACGAUUUCUAAACGAAAAAUUUUGCUUACAUCUCACCAGUGCGAGAAAAAUUUAAAUAAAACUACUUAUUUGAUCACGGUAUAUGUACACAUGUCUGUAGGACGGGCGUCGAAACGACGGGAUUAAAUAAUAUUAAUAUAACAGCGAUAAAAUCCGUAAAAGUAGUUUUGUUUAAAUGUCUUAUAUUCGCGUAAGUGUUAGAAAGAAAUGUAUGUAUAUAGGUAUACUAUAGAUGCUUAAAAAUGUCGUGUGAAAUGUUGUAGAUUUUGAAAGGGACAAAUAAAGCUAACUAGAUUAAACUUA